rnacentral:rRNA from 1 species
UCCAGACUCCUACGGGAGGCAGCAGUGAGGAGUAUUGGUCAAUGGGAGGAAUCCUGAACCAGCCAUGCCGCGUGCAGGACGACGGCUCUACGAGUUGUAAACUGCUUUUGUACCGGGGUAAAAUGCCUUACGAGUAGGGUUUUGAAAGUACGGUACGAAUAAGGAUCGGCUAACUCCGUGCCAGCAGCCGCGGUAAUACGGAGGAUGCGAGCGUUAUCCGGAUUUAUUGGGUUUAAAGGGUGCGUAGGCGGAAUGCCAAGUCAGCGGUAAAAUCGCGGGGCUCAACCUCGCUCCGCCGUUGAAACUGGCGUUCUUGAGUGGGCGAGAAGUAUGCGGAAUGCGUGGUGUAGCGGUGAAAUGCUUAGAUAUCGCGCAGAACCCCGAUUGCGAAGGCAGCGUACCGGCUCCACACUGACGCUGAGGCACGAAAGCGUGGGUAUCGAACAGGAUUAGAUACCCUUGUAU